rnacentral:rRNA from 1 species
GAUGAACGCUGGCGGCGUGCUUAAUACAUGCCAGUCGAGCGAACGGACGAGAAGCUUGCUUCUCUGACGUUAGCGGCGGACGGGUGAGUAACACGUGGAUAACCUACCUAUAUGACUGGGAUAACUUCGGGAAACCGGAGCUAAUACCGGAUAAUAUUCUGAACCGCAUGGUUCAAUAGUGAAAGUCGGUCUUGCUGUCACUUAUAGAUGGAUCCGCGCUGCAUUAGCUAGUUGGUAAGGUAACGGCUUACCAAGGGAAGGAUGCAUAGACGAACUGUGAGGGUGGUAGGCCACACUGGAACUGGGACACGGUCCAGGCUCCUACGGGAGGCAGCAGUAUGGUAUGUGCCGCAGUGGGCGAGAGCCUGACAGAGCAACGCCGCGUGAGUGAUGAAGAUCUUCGGAUCGUAAAACUCUGUUAUUAGGGAAGAACAUAUGUGUAAGUAACUGUACACAUCUUGACGGUACCUAAUCAGAAAGCCACGGCUAACUACGUG